rnacentral:rRNA from 1 species
UUACGGGAGGCAGCAGUAAGGAAUAUUGGUCAAUGCCCGGAAGGGUGAACCAGCCAUGCCGCGUGCAGGAUGACGGCCCUAUGGGUUGUAAACUGCUUUUGGAUAGGAAGAAAGUGGAGUAUUAAUACUUUUUUGACGGUACUAUCAGAAUAAGCACCGGCUAACUCCGUGCCAGCAGCCGCGGUAAU